rnacentral:rRNA from 1 species
UACGUAGGUGGCAAGCGUUGUCCGGAUUUAUUGGGUUUAAAGGGUGCGUAGGCGGUCAAUUAAGUCAGUGGUGAAAUACGGCAGCUUAACUGUCGAGGUGCCAUUGAUACUGGUUGACUUGAGUACUGAUGAGGUAGGCGGAAUGGACGGUGUAGCGGUGAAAUGCUUAGAGAUCGUCCAGAACACCGAUAGCGAAGGCAGCUUACUAAGGAGUAACUGACGCUGAGGCCCGAAAGUGUGGGGAUCAAACAGG